UACGGAGGGUGCAAGCGUUGUCCGGAUUUAUUGGGUUUAAAGGGUGCGUAGGCGGUCUUUUAAGUCAGUGGUGAAAUCCUGCAGCUUAACUGUAGAACUGCCAUUGAUACUGGAAGACUUGAGUAUAGACGAGGUAGGCGGAAUUGACGGUGUAGCGGUGAAAUGCAUAGAUAUCGUCAAGAACACCGAUUGCGAAGGCAGCUUACUAGACUAAUAACUGACGCUGAGGCACGAAAAGCGUGGGGGAUCAAAACAGGG
rnacentral:rRNA from 1 species